GGUAAAAGUUGGUGUAUUGUCUAUUUUGUCCCUAAAAGUAGAUUUUAUUUUGAAAAGUUAGUGAGGUGAAAGUUGGUGAAUUGUCUAUUUUGUCCCUAAAAGUAGAUUUCAUUUUGAAAAGUUAGUGAGUAAAAGUGUAAUGAUGAUGGGUAAGUAGGAAAAGUGGAGGAAAAAGUUGAUGUGAAAGGUGUAAUGAUGAUGUCUUUUUAAUAAGUUGGAGUUACGAAGCAGGACAUUUAAAAAGGGACGGAGGGAGUAAU